rnacentral:rRNA from 1 species
CGUNNUCCGCGCCGUAGCUAACGCAUUAAGUGCCCCGCCUNNNNNGUACGGCCGCAAGGCUAAAACUCAAAGGAAUUGACGGGGGCCCGCACAAGCGGCGGAGCAUGCGGAUUAAUUCGAUGCAACGCGGAGAACCUUACCAAGGCUUGACAUGAACCGGAAACACCUGGAAACAGGUGCCCCGCUUGCGGUCGGUUUACAGGUGGUGCAUGGUUGUCGUCAGCUCGUGUCGUGAGAUGUUGGGUUAAGUCCCGCAACGAGCGCAACCCUCGUUCUAUGUUGCCAGCGCGUUAUGGCGGGGACUCAUAGGAGACUGCCGGGGUCAACUCGGAGGAAGGUGGGGACGACGUCAAAUCAUCAUGCCCCUUAUGUCUUGGGCUUCACGCAUGCUACAAUGGCCGGUACAAAGGGUUGCGAUACUGUGAGGUGGAGCUAAUCCCAAAAAGCCGGUCUCAGUUCGGAUUGGGGUCUGCAACUCGACCCCAUGAAGUCGGAGUCGCUAGUAAUCGCAGAUCAGCAACGCUGCGGUGAAUACGUUCCCGGGCCUUGUACACACCGCCCGUCAAGUCACGAAAGUUGGUAACACCCGAAGCCGGUGGCCUAACCCCUUGUG